AAGUCGUAACAAGGUAACCGUAGGUGAACCUGCGGUUGGAUCAUUAAUAAAUUUUAUUUUAAAUUGUUAAAGAUAUUAUUUUUUUAAAAUAAUAUUCUUUUUCAAACAUUUUGUGAACUGUUUUAUUGUUUUUGGUAGGGCUUAUAGAAUAUUUUUAAAUAUUUGGAAAAUAUAAAUUAUUUAUAUUUUUUACCUACCUAUUUAUUUAAACUUUAUAUUAUUUUUAUUAGUCUUUAGAUUUUUUUUAAAACUUUGUUUAAUAUAAAAACAACUUUUGACAACGGAUCUCUAGGCUCUCA
rnacentral:misc_RNA from 1 species